AGCAGCCGCGGUAAUUCCAGCUCCAAUAGCGUAUAUUAAAGUUGCUGCAGUUAAAAAGCUCGUAGUUGAAUUUCGGGACUAAUAUGUUGGUCGUGCCUCGGUACGUACUGAUAUUUUUGGUUUCUCCCUUCUGACGAACCUUGAUGUCAUUAAUUUGGUGUCUUGGGAAAUCAGGACUGUUACUUUGAAAAAAUUAGAGUGUUUAAAGCAGGCUCACGCUUGAAUACAUUAGCAUGGAAUAAUGAAAUAGGACGUUUGAUUCUAUUUUGUUGGUUUCUAGGAUCGACGUAAUGAUUAAUAGGGAUAGUUGGGGGCAUUAGUAUUCAAUUGUCAGAGGUGAAAUUCUUGGAUUUAUUGAAGAAUAACUACUGCGAAAGCAUUUGCCAAGGAUGUUUUCAUUAAUCAAGAACGAAAGUUAGGGGAUCGAAGACGAUCAGAUACCGUCGUAGUCUUAACCAUAAACUAUGCCGACUAGGGAUCGGAUGAUGUUAAUUUUUUAAUGACUCA
rnacentral:rRNA from 1 species